CUAUUCACCUGGCUUCGUUCUCCCACCGCCGCUGCCCUCACUCCCGAUCUCUCUCCCUCAGUUCUCCUACGCCGCCACCUCCGGCCCCUCAGCGAUCCCGCCGUCUCAGCCCCGGAGGCGUGGUCCGGGCCGGCCCCGGUGCUGGAGCGGCACGGCAGCCUAGCCCUGGCGAGGCACGGGCCCAGCGCGGGCCGCUGCGACCCGACGGCGCGGUCGGCCGGGGUAGGUCCUCUUUCUCCCACCGCCGCUCGCGCGCCGCCAUACAUCUCCAUCGCGCUGGCGGUAGCUGUGGAGGAGGAGGGCGGGGCUGGACGGGGCUCAAGCUGGACGUCCUCGUCUUCGGCUGCCUCCAGGUUGUGCCGUUCCUGAUGCGGUUGGGCAAGGGGUCCAAGGUGAGGGGGUACUGCUCUGGCUCCUGGAGGAGGCUUUUACUCGCACGCUCGGGAGGGGCCUAGCUCUUCCCCCGGCUGCCCGCUCAUGUUCGACAAUCGCCCGCUCCAGUCACCACAUCGAAGGCAAGUAGUGGAGGCAGCUGAUAUUUGGGAAGAACUGCGUAAACACCAUGAGCCAUGAGGUGAAAAAACAUUUGCAGACUCGCGUUUGCAGGUUGUCAGAUUAAGGAGGGACUUUCGAAUAUGAAGUUGAUUAAGUACUCUAAUAUUUACCCGCAAAAAAAAAGUACCCUAAUGUUGCAUAUAAGUUUUGCUCGCAGAUCAGGUGGACCUCACCAGCCUCCGUGGCGGCCAUGGUUGGCAGCAAAGGAAGAAGUGCGUAUCCCUUUCUCCUUCCUCCUUGCCUCCCCCGAAGCAGCCCAGAGUGAGAACACCACCCCAUGGAUCAAAGAAUCCCAAAGUUGCUGCCUUCUGAUUUGACCCACCUGCCAACUGUCCAGCAGCAGCACUCAGAUGUAGGCAGGAGGUGGUCAGCUCGGCAAGGUGGAUAUAGCAUAUGUGCGAUUUAUCGGAAGGUUUCAGAUAUUCUAUUCCAACAUCAAGAACUACGAUAUCACAAAGGGCAGACCCAAUCUUCAGAAGUUCAUUGAGCCUGAAUGGAGCAAUACAAGGGACGCCGUAGAGGUGAUAGACAAGACCAUGGGUCUCUCCCAGAAUAAUCAUUUGAUUCUUUACACCAUGAGAUGCUCAUAUGAUCUUCAUUAUCAUUUGGCCGCAUAUACGUGAUUAUGAACCUUUUAGUAUAGAAAUCUCCGCUGAUAUGAGCUACCGGCUAUGGGUAGACAAUUCAAUUUGUUACCAGCAAUAGAUACAUAUGAUCCUUAUGUUCCCGCUAGAUUAACAUUUUACCUAUGUUGGUAUAUACUUUGAUAUUGUUGUACCAACAUGCAAUUUACCGCAAGUGUUGCACCGAACCUAAUUUGUUGAUUCUUUGACUGUGGAAGUAUGAUACUGCUGUAGCUUGUUCAAUGUUUUUUAGCUGUGUUUGUUCAGUCAGAAUAAAAACUCUAUUGCUGCAAUGUUGAUAGGCGUGCAAAGCAUGUAUUGAUGA